rnacentral:rRNA from 1 species
GACGAACGCUGGCGGCGUGCUUAACACAUGCAAGUCGAACGGUGAAGCGCCUUCCUUUUUGUUGGGUGUGGAUGAGUGGCGAACGGGUGAGUAACACGUGAGUAACCUGCCCCCUUCUUCUGGAUAACCGCAUGAAAGUGUGGCUAAUACGGGAUAUUCUGGGUCUGUCGCAUGAUGGGUCUGUGAAAGAUAUUGUUUCGGUGUGGGAUGGGCUCGCGGCCUAUCAGCUUGUUGGUGGGGUGAUGGCCUACCAAGGCUGUGACGGGUAGCCGGCCUGAGAGGGUGAGCGGUCACAGUGGGAAUGAGACACGGAGCAGACUCAGACGGGAGGCAGCAGUGAGGAAUAUUGCACGAUGGGCGCAAGCAUGAUGCAGCGACGCGGCGUGAGGGAUGGAGGCCGUCGGGUUGUGAACCUCUUUAGCGAGUGAAGAAGGGCUGCCUAGUUUGUGGGUGGGUUGACGGUAGCUGGAUAAGAAGCACCGGCUAACUACGUG